rnacentral:lncRNA from 1 species
AAAUAACCAAAAUAUCCUUAUUUCUUUUAUAAGAAAAAUAAUAAAUUUUUAAUAUAUUUCUGUCUUUUUGAAAAUAUUUUCAGUAUAAAUUAUAAAAAAUAGACGGAAUAGUGAUGGAACUCUGACGGAGAGCUGCUAAAUGUGACAACUUCAAAUGUUGAAAGGAUAAAAUAUAGGUUUUUGAAAGUUAUGGUAGAAAAGCAAAAAAGUGAAUAUUUAUAAGAAAGUAUUCUAUAAUUUAGCUUUUUAUUUUUGUAUUUUAUUACUAUCACGUAUACUUAGAGAUAAUUGCAUAUUUGAUCCUCUAACUAUGAGGCCGAAACUUUAAUUUUGGAUAAUAUUUAGCUCGAGCUUUUAGAAUUAUUACAAUCAAAUUCUAUAACUCAAUUUAGUCAAUUAAACUCGAUUGUGGGAUAUAUCACUAAGUAGAACUGAUGUAUUAGUAUUGUGAUUGAUGAUGUAUCAAUAAUUAAGAUGUCAGAUCACUUUUAUACUAACAAUACGUUAAAAUUUAGUCAACUAAAUUAGAUUAACUGUGAGACUUGAUUGUAACAAUUUUAAAAGUUCGAGCUAAAAUUAUAACACAUUAAAGUUUGAGGAUGAAAAUGUCGUGUGCACAUAGUUUGACAAUUUUAUCCUAUUUUUAUCAGGAAGAACUUUAGAUAUUCACAUAUGCUACUUUAUUUUUUUUAACUUUAUGCUUCUCUGAUCAGAGGUUGGAACGAAGCACUUUGAACCUUCUCGCGCUUACUUUGUCCAUUUUGUGGUCCCUAGUUUUUUGUUCUCUUUAUCUACUUUCUGUCCCUGUUUUCUUUUGUUUUUGUUUGUUCUUCUGACGCCGGCUCUGUCUGGAGGCCCUAGCUGCUUCCAUUUUGUAUGCUAAAUUCAUUUCGCUUAAUGAAUGAAGCAGGUAGCUUGCUACCUUUUUCUCAAAA